rnacentral:lncRNA from 10 species
GGUACUUUCUCAGCAGGACAAGCCCUGAGCUCUGGAAAAACGCAGCUAGAAUAACGAGGAAGCAGAGGGGCCUCUCCCACACCAGGCUUGCCCCGACAGGUCACAGCCAGAUCAGAUACCCUGAGGAGGAGGCUGUGAGUCAUGUUUGUCCAGAAGUGCCAACUGCUGCACCAGAAAAGCCGGGAGAAAAGAAGCAAGCGUAAGGCUGGAGCACAAUGGCACAAUCUCGGCUCACUGAAACCUCUGGCUCCUGGGUUGAAGCAAUUCUCCUGCCUCAGACCCCUGAGUAGCUGGGACUACAGGCGCACGCUGCUACACCCGGCUAAUUAUUUGUAUUUUAAUAGAGACGAGUUUUCACCGUGUUGCCCAGGCUGGUCUCAAGCUCCUGAGCUCAGGCAGUGCACCCACCUUGGCCUCCCAAAGUGCUAAGAUUACAGGCGUGAGCCACUGUGCCUGGCCUAUUUUUUAAAUAAAGUUUUAUUGG